CACGUAGGGGGCAAGCGUUGUCCGGAUUUAUUGGGCGUAAAGAGCUCGUAGGUGGUUCGGUAAGUCGGGUGUUAAACCCCCAGGCUCAACCUGGGGACGCCACUCGAUACUGCUGUGACUAGAGUCCGGUAGGGGAGCGUGGAAUUCCUGGUGUAGCGGUGAAAUGCGCAGAUAUCAGGAGGAACACCAGCGGCGAAGGCGGCGCACUGGACCACAACUGACGCUGAGGCGCGAAAGCUAGGGGAGCAAACAGG
rnacentral:rRNA from 1 species